UACGGGGGGGGCAAGCGUUGUUCGGAAUUACUGGGCGUAAAGGGCGCGUAGGCGGCCCGCUAAGUCAGACGUGAAAUCCCUCGGCUCAACCGGGGAACUGCGUCUGAUACUGGCAGGCUUGAAUCCGGGAGAGGGAUGUGGAAUUCCAGGUGUAGCGGUGAAAUGCGUAGAUAUCUGGAGGAACACCGGUGGCGAAGGCGGCAUCCUGGACCGGCAUUGACGCUGAGGAGCGAAAGCUAGGGGAGCAAACGGG
rnacentral:rRNA from 1 species